rnacentral:lncRNA from 1 species
UCAAACUGAUCCUACAUGGACCUCAAAUAUAGUGAGGUUUCACCUUAGAUUACCCAAGUAAUCAUGUGAAAACCUUCCUAGAGGUUAUCCAAGUGCUAAGAAAGAAGAAAUGAGUAGAAAAGAGUAGUAGAGGUGAGUUAGAACUCAUUUAGAAAUGCUUGAACUUUCUGAUUAUAAUCUGGAAAUUAGAUGAUAUUUUGGGAGUGCUUUGAGAGGGAUUGUGAGUUGAGGUUUAGGGUUGAGUUAGGUGGGUUUUAAAUGCAAUUAGGUGAAGUAAACACAACCAACAAACACAAAAUGGACCAAUAAAGAACUGAAAUAUAAUUUUCUGCGGAUUUAGGGGCCUGGCGGGCCGCGACGGAGGAGUGUGGUGGCGGUGGCGGGGCACGACGGCCUCCUUCCGUGCCAAACUUUGAUUUUUUGUCAUUUCAGCCCCUAAAGUCUUAUAUAUUGUACAUGAUAGGGUAUUUUAGGUGUAGAGAGCAUGUGAUAAGUAUAAUAAACAUAACAUUAUGAGUGUUAGGUGUAUAAGUCCCGUAUUUAGGUAUUAGUGCAUAAGUAUGAAAACAAGUCUUGUGAAGGUAUAAUCAAGUAUAUGCAUAUGUAUACCUUUAAAUCUCGUAACUACGAAUACGUAUCAAAUGUAUUUAUGAGUUGAAUAAGUAGAUAUGUAUAAGUAACCAAGUAUAAUUCUCAUGAAGUAAUCCAUUUAUUAU